rnacentral:rRNA from 1 species
GACGAACGCUGGCGGCGUGCUUAACACAUGCAAGUCGAACGGUAAGGCCCUGCUUUUGUGGGGUGCUCGAGUGGCGAAAGGGUGAGUAACACGUGAGUGACCUGCCCUUGACUUUGGGAUAACUUCAGGAAACUGGGUCUAAUACCGGAUAGAAGCUCCGGCUGCAUGGUUGGGGUUGGAAAGUUUCGGCGGUUGGGGAUGGACUCGCGGCUUAUCAGCGUGUUGGUGGGGAAGUGGCUUACUAAGGCUUUGACGGGUAGCCGGCCUGAGGGGGUGACCGGCCACAUUGGGACUGAGAUGCGGCCAGGACUCAUACGGGAGGCAGCAGUGGGGAAUAUUGCACAAUGGGCGGAAGCCUGAUGCAGCAACGCCGCGUGCGGGAUGACGGCCUUCGGGUUGUAACCCGCUUUCGCCUGUGACGAAGCGUGAGUGACGGUAAUGGGUAAAGAAGCACCGGCUAACUACGUG